rnacentral:rRNA from 1 species
AAAUUGAAGAGUUUGAUCAUGGCUCAGAUUGAACGCUGGCGGCAGGCCUAACACAUGCAAGUCGAGCGGCAGCGGGAAAGUAGCUUGCUACUUUUGCCGGCGAGCGGCG